UUGCUCUCUCUCUCUCUCUCUCUAUCUGUGACAACCAUGCCCAACCACCACCACCUCCUCCACACUCCUCUCCGCCCAUCCUCCUCCUCUUCUUCCUCUAACCAAUCCUUCACCUCGAAGCUUAUUCUCCUCCUCACUCUCCUCCCUCUUUCUCUUGCCGCCUUGGCCUUUGUUCUCCAAUGGAAAGGUGAUCGAGGUCUCGCUGAUCCCACCACCGUUACUGCUCGAUGGGCUCCUCAAGGUUCCCACAACCACGAUAUCUUCCCGGGCAUGGAAUCCUCUGUUUCAAUUUUUUCUCCUAAACCUACCCACCCAUCUGAUUGCUUCUCUCUUGCCCGUAGUGGAUCCCCGUCUUUCCCCUACUUUCGUGAUUGGAAGUUUGAUUUCGAGGCCAAUUUGAGGCCUAAGAUAUGCAUUACAACAAGUACAUCUGCAGGCUUAGAUCAGAUUCUUCCAUGGAUGUUUUAUCAUAAGGUUAUCGGGGUGACAACCUUUUUCCUUUUUGUGGAAGGAAAGGCAGCAUCACCUAGUGUAUCUAAAGUUCUUGAAUCUAUUCCUGGAGUAAAAGUGAUAUUUAGAACAAGAGAGCUAGAGGAGCAACAGGCUAAAAGCCGGAUCUGGAAUGAGACAUGGCUGUCAAGUUUCUUUUACAAGCCGUGCAAUUAUGAGCUGUUUGUGAAACAAUCUCUCAAUAUGGAAAUGGCUAUUGUCAUGGCAAGGGAUGCAGGCAUGGACUGGAUACUUCAUCUUGACACGGAUGAACUGAUACAUCCUGCUGGUUCUAGUGAAUAUUCUUUGAGACAAUUACUGCUGGAUGUUCCUGGGAAUGUAGAUAUGGUUAUUUUUCCAAAUUAUGAGAGUAGUGUUGAAAGAGAUGAUGUUAAGGAUCCCUUUAGCGAGGUAAAUCUCCUAUAUAAUCUAUUUAAUAUUUUUAAAAUUUGGUCUAGUAAUUUUAAUUGUUAUAAGUGUGGAGUUCGACAAUUUGACAAAGAUUCAGUUAGAAUUUUAUGUAUGCUAUACCUCAACUACAUUGUUGGCUGAAUUCUUGGGCUCAAGUCAACUGUUUUGUAUCACUUACAAAAUUUACUGGAUUCUAAAACUGUUUAAGAAAUGAUAGGUGAUUGAAGGGAGAUAUAUAUGUUUCCGGUUUUGAGUUCACCUUGUUCUGUCCCUAUUGAUAUGGUAAUAAACCAGUGUGGAACAUAUAAAGGAAUGUAUGGCAAUGUAUGUAUUGUGAAACUUCUAUUCUUGAAGAAAGUUUUGUAAUAAUUAAAGUGUCUGCACUGUUUUAAUUUUCUAGCAUUUUGGGAAUUGGGAUGAGUAGCGUGCUAAUUUAUUUUUCUUGUUAUUUGGAAAAUUGAAAGGACUUUGCCUUUAUGUUCGCUUGCCUUUGAAGAGUACAUGCAUAGUCUUUGCUUGUGUUUUAUUGAUGUGUCAAUGUAAGCAGGUUUCAAUGUUCAAAAAGAAUUAUGACCAUCUCCCAAAGGAUACAUACUUUGGCAUGUAUAAGGAAUCAACUCGUGGUAAUCCCAACUACUUCUUAACUUAUGGAAAUGGGAAAUCAGUAGCUCGAAUUCAAGAUCAUCUCCGUCCUAAUGGUGCACACCGAUGGCACAACUACAUGAAAACUCCCAAGUAUGUUGAUCAUAUAUGAUAAUAUGUGAGCACUGAUUUUGAAUUAUUAAUCUAUGCAAAGGAAUGUGAAUGAAAGGCAUGCAGCCGUGAUGAAUUUCAUACAUAUCCACAUAUACAGGAAGCUGCCUUUCCACUCUGUGCAGGGGGGUGGUUCUAUUUCUUCAUGUGUGAAUCAUUUGUACAUCUUGAAUGUUACCAUUUAUAUGUCUCACCUUUUUUCUUUUUAAUAAUUUUGUGUAUGACAACUUUUUCAAUUGUCGUAUUCUAUCUGUGCUCUUUAAGUGAUGUUGCCAGCAAGCAAUUUUUUUUAAUCUACAUUUUAUAGUGAGGUGAAAUUGGAAGAGGCUGCAGUUCUACAUUACACUUAUGCCAAAUUCUCAGACUUGACUUCCAGACGUGAUCGGUGCGGCUGCAAGCCUACAAAGGAGGAUGUCAAAAGAUGCUUUAUGUUGGAAUUUGAUAGAGCUGUGAGUUCUGUUCCUUUGUUUUGUUUUUCUUGUUUUUCAUUUCAGCUGUUGCUGCUUGUCUGUGAGAAGUGGAAAGUACAAUCUGUAAUUUGAAGAAUCCAUGCUAGAAAAAUAGGCCAUUUUGUGCAGGGAUCUAGGUCAUGAUGUUAGUGCGAUGGAAUAAUUGAUUCUUUCUUUCCUUUUUUGAUCUAAAUCUAUUCUCCAUAAGAAGAAAAAAAGUAUUAAGAGCUGCCUGAGGGGUUGCAGUCCUCAGCAUGUGAACAAAGUACAUGGAUGGCUGCCAUACAGGAUUCAGGAGUGCCCUCACAAAUGGCUGACACUGAUGCGACCCAAGUAAUGAUAUGUUUUAUAAUACUGAUGUGGCUAGCCUUUGUUCAUUCUUUAUGUUUUAAUGAGCAGUGAGCAGGUGCCAAGUUGGUUUUUUUUGGGAGCUAACUCCUAAUGAUGCAUGCUAUGCAUGGUUGACCCAAGAACUUUAUAUUGGGAAGGAAGGAUUUCCAUUCUGGAGUUGAGCAUGUUUGGGAUUGAGGUUAAAACUGCUUUUUUGGACACCCUCUUAGAUGAUAUUGAAAAGGGUAGUUUGAAAAUGUUGUUGCUGUUUUGAAAUUCUUGUGACUGAAACAUGUCGAAUUUAAAUUAAAAUCAAAUUUCAAAGGUCUAAUAAACAUUUUUAAGGUAAUGUUUUUCUCAAUAGCAACUCAAACAACAAUUGCCAGUUAUGACUUAUGAUGUCAGUGCACCAUGUAAACAGCUAGAAUGAGUCCCUUUCAUGGGAAUUCACUGAUCUGGUUUCCACAAUUGAGGAGCAUCGUCAUAGUACUAACUGAUGGAUGCUGGUGUGGGUGCUUGCCCAACACUAAAUUUCCUGGUACCUAAUGAUGUUCUAGUGAAAGUAGAGAAUUAAGCCUUAGAUAAAUUUGUUAUUUUUGGGUUAUUUUAUUCCCAAGAGAUGGUCACUGGUUUAUUUCAAUUCUCACAUUGGUCAAGUUGAUAGCAAAAUACAAAGUUUUGAAUUUAUUAUUAAUAUUUUGUUUGUUUGUGUUCAGUCGGUGUGAGAUUCUACUGUUCUGACAACUUUUUCAUCUUAUUAAUUCAACAUUAUUCAUUGUAGGCAUUCAUAAUAGCAUCAACAGCUACAGAGGAGGAAAUGCUAAACUGGUACCGUGAACACAUUGUGUGGGGUGAUAAAGACCUAAAAUUGAAACUCUUGAGAAAGGGCAUUUUAACUCGCAUAUAUUCUCCCAUGGCCAUAAUACAAGCUUUAAGGGAGUCGGGGGUAUUCAGCUCUAUUAUUGCGUCUGCUCAAACAACUAUUUCAAAAGACAAGUU
rnacentral:misc_RNA from 1 species